rnacentral:rRNA from 1 species
CAAGCACUUUGAAAAGAGGGUGAAAAGAACCUGAAACCGUUACGGCAGAAGCGUAUUGCUGUCGAAGUGCCAAGUAUGCGUUGUUCAAUAAAAAAUCCUUUUAUGUAUUCAACGUUAUAUUUUCCGCGCAUGUAUUGUAAGUGAUGGAUUUUGCAUUACUUGCGGUAGAGGUAUCCCUCUUUACGAGGUGAAGAUGCGCGGGUCUAGACGCGAUGCGACCCGUCUUGAAACACGGACCAAGGAGUGUAGCACAUUUGCGAGUCAAAGGGUUUUGAAACCUGAGGGCGAAGUGAAAGCGAAAAAUAGAAAAUAUGCUAUUUGAGGCGGCAUACGAUCGUUGAUUGUACGUCCGACCUGGAGCAAAUGUGGUACGACCCGAAAGAUGGUGAACUAUGCCGGGGUAGGGCGAAGCCAGAGGAAACUCUGGUGGAGGCUCGUAGCGGUGCUGACGUGCAAAUCGCUCGUCUAACCUGGGUAUAGGGGCGAAAGACUAAUCGAACCAUCUAGUAGCUGGUUCCCUCCGAAGUU